UCUGGUUGAUCCUGCCAGUAGUCAUAUGCUUGUCUCAAAGAUUAAGCCAUGCAUGUCUAAGUACAAACCUUAAUACGGUGAAACCGCGAAUGGCUCAUUAAAUCAGCUAUGGUUCCUUAGAUCGUCUCAUCCUACUCGGAUAACUGUGGAAAAUCUAGAGCUAAUACGUGCUUACAAGCCCUGACCUCACGGGAGGGGCGCAUUUAUUAGAUCAAAACCAAUCGGGGCUUGCCCCGUCUGCUUGGUGACUCUGGAUAACUUUUGUGCUGAUCGCAUGGCCUCUGCGCUGGCGACGUAUCUUUCAAGUGUCUGCCCAAACUUACGAUGGUAGGUGAUAUGCCUACCAUGGUUAUAACGGGUAACGGGGAAUCAGGGUUCGAUUCCGGAGAGGGAGCCUGAGAAACGGCUACCACAUCUAAGGAAGGCAGCAGGCGCGCAAAUUACCCACUCCCGGCACGGGGAGGUAGUGACGAAAAAUAACGAUACGGGACUCUUUUGAGGCCCCGUAAUUGGAAUGAGUACACUUUAAAUCCGUUAACAAGUAUCUAUUGGAGGGCAAGUCUGGUGCCAGCAGCCGCGGUAAUUCCAGCUCCAAUAGCGUAUAUUAAUGUUGCUGCAGUUAAAAAGCUCGUAGUUGGAUCUGAGGACUCGAAUUGGUGGUGCACCAUACGGUGUUACUGCCGAUUCGGCCUACCUAGUCGGUGCUCGCUCUUGGUGUUCUUAAUUGAAUGCCCUGAGUGCCCGGCAAGUUUACUUUGAAAAAAAUUAGAGUGCUCAAAGCAGGCCAUUAGCCGGAAUACUUCAGCAUGGAAUAAUGGAAUAGGACUUCGGUUCUAUUUUGUUGGUUUUCGGAACCCGAGGUAAUGAUUAAGAGAGACAGACGGGGGCAUUCGUACUGCGGUGUUAGAGGUGAAAUUCUUGGAUCGCCGCAAGACGAACAACUGCGAAAGCAUUUGCCAAGAAUGUUUUCAUUAAUCAAGAACGAAAGUCAGAGGUUCGAAGACGAUCAGAUACCGUCCUAGUUCUGACCAUAAACGAUGCCAACUGGCGAUCCGAGAUCGUUUGCUUAUUGACCUCUCUCGGGCAGCCUCCGGGAAACCAAAGUUUUUAGGUUCCGGGGGAAGUAUGGUUGCAAAGCUGGAAACUGUUCAAUUGCAACUCUGCCUGUGACACCAAGUGGUCGGGUUACUUGGUCUGUUCUGGCCCGGAGUCGGUAGGGUUUCCGGCCUUGUGCUCUUUCCUUACUGUUCUCUGUAACGCCGAAGGCGGGGCUUCCACGGUGGGGAAGCGGUUGUACAAAUCCGGCAAAUCCAGCCAAAUGGGUUCCGGACUCUGUCCAACCUGCAACUGGUAACAGCCUCGGCUGGCUAACAUUUGAGCUGGGACUCGCUUGGGAGGAGCGAGGAUAAUAUAAACCUCUAUGUGACUGAGGUGAGGAAUCUGGUUCUCGUAAAAUGGCUGGAGAUCCCGAGCCUGUAAGUCAUAAAUUAGUUCCCCCACGAGGGAGGUGUCGAAUUGAAGCCAGUGCGUGCCCUUACUAGUUUAAGGGAUUGUAUACUUCCUUUGGUGUACCCACCUGGAAGUGCCCAAGGGGUCCUAUCCCUGCACUCCAACCCGAUUGGAGUCAGGUGACGGCUCCUUA
rnacentral:rRNA from 1 species